AGAGUUUGAUCCUGGCUCAGAAUGAACGUUGGCGGCGUGGAUUAGGCAUGCAAGUCGAGCGAGAAUUUGUGAUUGGAGGCUUCGGCUGAAGAGAUCAGAGGAAAGCGGCAAACGGCGUAGUAAUGCGUAGGUACAUACCCUCGGGUCGGGAAUAGCCAUGGGAAACUGUGGGUAAUGCCCGAUAAUCUCUGCGGAGCAAAGGUGUGAUUCCGCCCGAGGAGUGGCUUACGUGAUAUUAGCUUGUUGGUGGGGUAAUGGCCUACCAAGGCGAUGAUGUCUAGGGGGUGUGAGAGCAUGGCCCCCACGACCGGAACUGAGACACUGUCCGGACACCUACGGGUGGCUGCAGUCGAGAAUCUUCCGCAAUGGACGAAAGUCUGACGGAGCGACGCCGCGUGCGGGAUGAAGGCCCUUGGGUUGUAAACCGCUGUCAGAGGGGAUGAAAUCAUGGUUGGCUAUCCUUCCAUGUUGACAGAGCCUCAGAGGAAGCACGGGCUAAGUACGUGCCAGCAGCCGCGGUAACACGUACUGUGCGAACGUUAUUCGGAAUCACUGGGCUUAAAGGGUGCGUAGGCGGUUUAUCAAGUCAGAUGUGAAAUGCCAGAGCUCAACUGUGGCACUGCGUUUGAAACUGAUAGGCUAGAGUAUUCCAGGGGUGUGCGGAACUUAUGGUGGAGCGGUGAAAUGCGUUGAUAUCAUGAGGAACACCGGAGGCGAAGGCGGCACACUGGGGGAUUACUGACGCUGAGGCACGAAAGCUAGGGUAGCGAACGGGAUUAGAUACCCCGGUAGUCCUAGCUGUAAACGAUGAGCACUGGGCGAGAGGCGAUUCGUCGCUUUUUGCCGUAGGCGAAAGGCAUUAAGUG
rnacentral:rRNA from 1 species